rnacentral:rRNA from 1 species
AGUGAACGCUGGCGGUAGGCCUAACACAUGCAAGUCGAACGGCAGCACAGUAAGAGCUUGCUCUUACGGGUGGCGAGUGGCGGACGGGUGAGGAAUACAUCGGAAUCUACUUUUUCGUGGGGGAUAACGUAGGGAAACUUACGCUAAUACCGCAUACGACCUACGGGUGAAAGCAGGGGAUCUUCGGACCUUGCGCGAUUGAAUGAGCCGAUGUCGGAUUAGCUAGUUGGCGGGGUAAAGGCCCACCAAGGCGACGAUCCGUAGCCGGUCUGAGAGGAUGAUCAGCCACACUGGAACUGAGACACGGUCCAGACUCCUACGGGAGGCAGCAGUGGGGAAUAUUGGACAAUGGGCGCAAGCCUGAUCCAGCCAUACCGCGUGGGUGAAGAAGGCCUUCGGGUUGUAAAGCCCUUUUGUUGGGAAAGAAAAGCAGCAGGUUAAUACCCCGCUGCUCUGACGGUACCCAAAGAAUAAGCACCGGCUAACUUCGUG